rnacentral:lncRNA from 1 species
CCUCUUUUUACGUAUAAAAGUGACUAGAAAUAUUUAGAAUAGUACAAUAAUGCAUGCAUGGCCAUGUAUGGUCCAACCUGAAUUAAUAGCAAAAAUAAUUGAGGCAUAUGCGUCGACUAGAAAACGUAUAGCGAGUAUGAGAUUUUAUCCAAUCAUAUUCACAACUUGAUAGCAUAUGCGCAAAUAUGCACCAUUCAUUC